rnacentral:rRNA from 1 species
AGUGAACGCUGGCGGUAGGCCUAACACAUGCAAGUCGAACGGCAGCACAGUAAGAGCUUGCUCUUACGGGUGGCGAGUGGCGGACGGGUGAGGAAUACAUCGGAAUCUACUUUUUCGUGGGGGAUAACGUAGGGAAACUUACGCUAAUACCGCAUACGACCUACGGGUGAAAGCAGGGGAUCUUCGGACCUUGCGCGAUUGAAUGAGCCGAUGUCGGAUUAGCUAGUUGGCGGGGUAAAGGCCCACCAAGGCGACGAUCCGUAGCUGGUCUGAGAAGAUGAUCAGCCACACUGGAACUGAGACACGGUCCAGACUCCUACGAGCAGCAGCAGUGGGGAAUAUUGGACAAUGGUCGCAAGCCUGAUCCAGCCAUACCGCGUGGGUGAAGAAGGCCUUCGGGUUGUAAAGCCCUUUUGUUGGGAAAGAAAAGCAGCAGGUUAAUACCCCGCUGUUCUGACGGUACCCAAAGAAUAAGCACCGGCUAACUUCGUG